rnacentral:rRNA from 1 species
UACAGAGGGAGCAAGCGUUGUUCGGAAUUACUGGGCGUAAAGGGCGCGUAGGUGGCCUGUUAAGUCGAACGUGAAAUCCCCGGGCUCAACCCGGGAACUGCGUCCGAGACUGGCAGGCUCGAAUCCGGGAGAGGGAUGUGGAAUUCCAGGUGUAGCGGUGAAAUGCGUAGAUAUCUGGAGGAACACCGGUGGCGAAGGCGGCAUCCUGGACCGGUAUUGACGCUGAGGCGCGAAAGCCAGGGGAGCAAACGGG